rnacentral:tRNA from 1 species
GGGUCGCUAGCUCAACUGGCAGAGCAGGUCCCUCUUAAGGACAAGGUUGCAGGUUCGAUUCCUGUGCGGCCCA